UACGUAGGGUGCAAGCGUUGUCCGGAAUCAUUGGGCGUAAAGCGCGCGUAGGUGGCCAUUUAAGUCCGCUGUGAAAGUCAAAGGCUCAACCUUUGAAAGCCGGUGGAUACUGGAUGGCUAGAGUACGGAAGAGGCGAGUGGAAUUCCUGGUGUAGCGGUGGAAUGCGCAGAUAUCAGGAGGAACACCGGUGGCGAAGGCGGGUCUCUGGGCCGAUACUGACGCUGAGGAGCGAAAGCGUGGGGAGCGAACAGG
rnacentral:rRNA from 1 species